UACAGAGGUCUCAAGCGUUGUUCGGAUUCAUUGGGCGUAAAGGGUGCGUAGGCGGCGCGGUAAGUCGGGUGUGAAAUCUCGGAGCUUAACUCCGAAACUGCAUUCGAUACUGCCGUGCUUGAGGACUGGAGAGGAGACUGGAAUUUCCGGUGGAGCGGUGAAAUGCGUAGAGAUCGGAAAGAACACCAACGGCGAAAGCACUCUGCUGGGCCGACACUGACACUGGAGAGACGAAAGCUAGGGGAGCGAAUGGG
rnacentral:rRNA from 1 species